CAGUGUGCGCAGAGUCCAGUUCUUGUAUAGUUACUGAAAACCACUGCAUAUAGACACGUGUAUAACCUAAUAGACCUAUAUAAGAUAUAACCCAGCACACCUAUACUAUAGCACUUGCAUUGGAAACAUACACUACCGUCAAACGUUUAGACACAUUCAUUCUUUAUUCUUUAACAUCAUGAAGGACCUUUCCACUCACACCAGACUGACCCCAGAACAGUGGGAGAACCGCCUCAACAGAUUCAUCAACAACAUGAGCAGGAAUGCCAGUGUUCAGACUACACUCAGCACAUGGGGUCUAAGCUUUGAGAACGAGCUGCUGAAUCUGACUGGAAGAGUUCUUCCUGCUGAGAGGAUCCUACAGGGAGCGAGAGCAGAUGGAGUACGAUGAUCGACAGGAGGCUCUGCUGAGAGCUCUGCAGCAGAGAGUGGUGCAACAGGUUCAGAUGCUGCAGUUCAUAGAAACCUCUUCACGGCUAAAGCUGCAGAGAUGGAGGUCGAGGGGACCAUGAAGAGGCGGCUCCAGCUUGCAUCAGAGCGAGAGUGUGGGCGCAAGAGCAGACUUUUGAUAAAGGAGGGUAUUUACACUGUUUUAACUGGUGGCGGUAAUGUACAACUCGGCACAGAAGAAGAAGAGGAGGAGGAGCUGGGGGAGAAAAAGCAAGGAAGAAGAGUGUUAAUGGUGUUUACUGCUCAUCUGGAGAGUCACCGCCAUCUUUCUGCAGGGGGUUAGAAGGUUGUUUCGUCCUGAUUGCCUGCACCCCAGCAGCCUCGGAGCGGAACUGCUGUCUGACAACAUCUCCAAGACGCUACACUCCAAGUGACUGUCUACCUCAAUGGUGCAACAAGGUAUCUGGACUAGAUGACCUAUCUGGCCUUUGAUUGGGCCUACUGCAUCUUCUGAUGGAGAUGUAAAACGAAGUGCGUGAGUUUAAAAGACCCGUGUGUUCCUGUAGUUGUUGGCAGCUCAGCGGGCGAGACGUGUGGCUCUGAUCGCUCGGAUCAAUAGUCUAAGGCUGGAAGUUCAGUAGGGUAAGUCAACACCUGUUUCAGUGUUUAUUUACAGUCACAGCGUUUAACUCACGCUUCACGUGCAGUCGAGAAGGAGGACAGGGUGAAGGAAAUGCGCCAUACCGUGGCGUAGGGCACGGCCAACAGGCUGCAGCUCCAGACCCGGCGGUGUUGAGAGGAUAGUGUGGAGGAUACGUUUGGCUCGGAUCAGGAGGAUCCUUAGGCUCUUGCCGGAGUUUCUGCGCAUGUGGUUCAUUACGCACCGGUUUCACUGAUUGCAUUUAAUGUGCAGCCGAGAUGGAGGACAUGGUGACGGAAGGUUAGCUGCAUGAUGGCAGGCUGAUGGCCGAUCAGAAGGUACUACACUGAAAUACUCCACCCCGGUCAGAGUAACUCUUCUGCACUGUAGCUUUGUAGAUAGAAGUUGUUUUAGUUUGAGAUGGCGUCGUCACCCUCAGAAGGAGGAGGUGGAAGACAGGAGAUGAAUUUUUUGUUGAUGUGGUUAAAUAAAAAGUACUUGAGUAAAAUAUUUGGCUUCAAAUAUCAAAUAUUUAAUUAUUUUACUCAGUAAAACACACAUACAUAAAACACACACAGAGACACACAAGCACAAAGACACACACACACACACACACACACACACACACAAAAAAACAGUUGUUCCCUCAUCAUCCCUCUCUUUAUUCCCGCUCUUAAUUCCCUCUUAAUUCUCUCUCUCUAUCCCCUCUCUCUUUAUUCUCUCUUUAUUCCCUCUCUUUAUUCUCUCUCUCUCUCGUGUAUGUAUUUAAUAAUUAUAUUUUUAAACAGGUAACUUAAAUUUAGUGUCUCUCAUUCUGUCAAUGUAGAUGAGCAGGAAACAACCUACCAUGAUAGAUUAAUUUUCUUGGCAGAUGUUUGUGAAUGACAAGGUGUCUUAAAACCUGUAAAUGGAAUUCCUGUGACACUGUAAGUCCAUGUCAGUCAGGUAACUACUGCUAUGGAAAUUUCUGCUGGAUAGGCUUAACUCUUUUACCAGAGGCAAAAAAAUGGAACUGACUUAAAGAUUUUUUUUUACGACUCUCUAAUGUCAAUACAGAAUAAUCCUAAAGCUGUUAAGUCUGUUAAAAAGGAUACUUGAUGUGUUAGAUGUAUGAUUGAUUUUUGAUAUAAGAUACAGAAUUUUGAUUUUACUGUCUUAUAGAUUCAAGUGUCUUUGUACGACUUUGUAUUCCCCUACUGUUGUUUCAUUAAUAAUAAAAAAAUUUCCA